GCCUGGGGCUGGGCUGGGCUGGGCUGGGCUGGGGCUGGGCUGGGGCUG
rnacentral:miRNA from 1 species